UCCAGACUCCUACGGGAGGCAGCAGUGGGGGAUAUUGCACAAUGGGGGGAACCCUGAUGCAGCGACGCCGCGUGGGUGAAGGAGCGUUUCGGCGCGUAAAGCCCUAUCGGCAGGGAAGAAGGAGGACGGUACCUGACUAAGAAGCCCCGGCUAACUACGUGCCAGCAGCCGCGGUAAUACGUAGGGGGCAAGCGUUAUCCGGAUUUACUGGGUGUAAAGGGGGCGCAGACGGCAGCGCAAGCCAGGAGUGAAAGCCCGGGGCCCAACCCCGGGACUGCUCUUGGAACUGCGCGGCUGGAGUGCAGGAGGGGCAGGCGGAAUUCCUGGUGUAGCGGUGAAAUGCGUAGAUAUCAGGAGGAACACCGGUGGCGAAGGCGGCCUGCUGGACUGCGACUGACGUUGAGGCCCGAAAGCGUGGGGAGCAAACAGGAUUAGAUACCCUUGUAUUA
rnacentral:rRNA from 1 species